rnacentral:lncRNA from 1 species
AGAAACUCACAUAAUAACAAAAUAAAAACCCCUAAAACCCACAGGAAUUUAAUAAAAGAAUUAAUAAAAACCCUGUAAAACCAAAAAAAUAAAAAACAAUGUGUCUUUCCCAACCCACAGUAUCUACACCCCCAACCUACAGCUUUCUUUCCACAAAAAUUUCAUCUUGGCCAUAUAACAUCGCAAGAUGCAAGUCACGCGCAAUGCGCAAUUUGUCCAAUGACUUACCGGCCACGACACUGGAACAAUUUCCAUAUUUUGCCACUUAAAACCUACUUAAGGUUGCUU